GAGACUGAAAGCUUUCUGUUUCAAUGAAGUGAGAAGUAGAGAUUGCUCUGAAAUGACAACUAAAUGUGCAUUAUUGAUCUAACACUCGAUUCACCCAUCCAUGACAAGACCAGAUGGCCAUGGGGAUGAAGAGUAGCUGCAAACCUACCUGAAAAAGUUAUGCUGGGUUUGUUUCUGAAAGCCAUGUACACAACAUUGAUGGGAGACAGGAGCAAAGAAAAUUGAAUCCUGACUUCUUUCUCAAGCCAAGAAGAUGAAACCAAAAUGCAGUGUAGACUUCUUGAGGAGAUGAAGGAGAUACAACAUGGUCCUUUUAGAUUGAAUUGGUGAAUUUCUCCAUCAAAAAUUAAUUAAAGAACAAACCCAGAAUACAGAACUAUGGUGAAUUGCACUCCCAGCAAUUAUUUUUUUAAAAGAUGCUCUUGGAUAAUUAAGUUAUCAUAUGAGCUUCUCGAUAAUUGUUUUCAUGUUCAGAUUUGGAGAAAGCAACCUAAUAAAUUUAUUGCAUUGCAGAAUACACAUCUAAGAAAGGUGACACUAAGAACAGAAUGAAAGAAAACAAAAGUCCUGAAAGUAAGUUUGAGAGAUAUAUUUUUAUUUGCUCAUCCAUAAGAUGUCCUUCAGUGUCUUUCACCUCAAUCUGUUGAGGUCAGUUCUGUUACUUUUAACCUCUUUUGCAUACUUUUAGAUUUAUUGAUCAAAAUACCCUUUAAAAUCAAGAGAAAGAAGCAUAGAAAACCUGGUGCCACUUAUGUCCUGGCACAUUAGUUCAACAACUUCAUGUUAAUCAUCAGGAAACCAUUCUCAUCUAGUUCUCACCAUUUCCUAUCAUCAGCAAUGAGAAAUUUUUCUCUGAGUUUGCUUUUUCUACAGCUGCUUUAGAUUGACCACCUCUUAAUUGUCUACCUAGCAAGGAAAGGUUUUAUUAGAAGCUACAUAAUACUAGUGGUAGACUCCAAGAAUCAGAGCUGGUACUGACUGCCUGUACCACUGGGAGAGGUUCUACAGCCUAUAGUUGUACAAGAGAAACGUACCAACAGAUCAACGAACUAAUCAAGCUCCAUGUCCACGCAUUGUUUCUAUAAUAAUAAUAAAAGGCUCACUCAAGACAAAGACUAAUUUAUCCACUCUAUCCACUUGCUAAAAUUUUAAUGAUACUCAUAAAAAAGAAUUCAGAAUACAUAUACUGUACUUAUAUAUUUAUCAUAGGCAAUUUAAAAUUGAGUAUGGGUAAUCUUUGUGCUCUAGUGCCAUACAGACUGAAUGCAUUAGGAUAUUACUAACCUUGAUGAUGUUUAUAACUUUUCAGAAGACUUAAUACCUAGAUUUCUGUAUAUAUUGCAUAUAUAAGGAUUUUAAAGAAACAUUGAAGUCACAUUAAGAUACCAAGUAUGGAACAGUAGUUUGUUAAAGAAAAAAAUUUUUUUUUAUCCCCUUCUGGAGUUUAACUAAGCAUAGUAUGAAGAAAGCUUAUCUAUAUCUGAUGUAAAGAGACAGCAAAAGAAUUUUCCCUUUUAAACUGUUAAAAGUAUUAAAUGUACACAAGCUGUCAAAAACUUGCACAACUGCAUGCUUGUCAUGUUACUUAAUACUUUUCAUGCUACUGUACAACCACUCCUGUCAGUGCCUCAACUAAUUGCUUUAGUUAUACAUUUUGUGCACCUUGUAGUUUAUCAGAUAGUAACUCUUUUAAAAGCAGAUUAUUUUUACCCAAUGCAUAUUGAAGUUUUGGAUUCCUUUGUCAUUCAGAUAACAUGUAUGUGAAAAGACUGCAUCACCUUAAGGGGAAACCAAACACAUUCAAUGGAGAUUGUUGACGGUCCUAAAUACCCAGAAACUACUGCCAGUUUAGGAAAUCUCUGUGUCAAAAACAAUUGGAGACAGAGAGUACUCAAUCAUUUGUGCUUGCCCAUACUUCUCCUCCCAGGCUUUUAAUUUAACUUCAGUUCAUAACAGAAUAAAGAUCUUUCUGGAUCUUUAGUCCAGUACUGCUUUGCUUAUGUUUGGAUGCCUUACUAGAAAAUACUAAAAUAUAUGUGUAUAUAUAUCUAUAUAUAUCAAAUAACUUUUACUUUUCAGAGCAAAUUACAGAUUGUUUCUGUUUUAAACCCAUGGAUCACUACUAUUUAAACACACACACACAUGCCAGCAAGUGUAGAAAUAAACACAAAAGAAUCCCAAAUCAUUAUGUCUUCACAAUAGGAUAGAUAGGUAUUUGUUGAGAGUAUAGCAUUUACAAGCAUUUACUAGUACUUUAAAUGUCUGUCCCCCUUGCCUUCAUCCACAGCUCAUUAAAAAAACAGUAUUGAAACCUCAAUUUUAGAGUUAAUAUUUUUAGUAACUUCAGUUUCAAUUUAAUACUUCUGCAGAAUGCAGAAAACUAAACAGUAUGCUCCGAACUACAAGCACUCUCUGUGAACCUACCAGAAAUAGGUAUGCUUUUAUACUUAGUCCUCUGGCUUCUUUAAUAGAACAACUUUUUCCCUUUAAAAAUACCCAAAGAAAUGCAACAGUAAAACACUACACUUGCCCUCUGCCAUCUGGACAAUGUAGCCUCCUAGCUGUUCUAAUAUAGGAGACUGUCAUAAUUAUUUCUCAGAUGCCUUUUUGUUAAAAACAGUUUCUUCCUCAGACUCAGAAGUUAUGAAUCAAUAGGCACUGAUGAUUGGAUUUACCAGGAAUCUUUGAUACUGAUGUGGGUCUAUUAUUUAACAUUUUUCAGUAUUUAUCUCAGCCCUUUGUCUGUGAGAGAAUAUGUCUUUUCCCAUUUUUCCAAUUUCCCAGUGAGAGUUUCACAUGUAAUCUCUAACCUCAGACCCAAACCUGGCAUAAAACCUAAACUUGUAUGAUGUCCUGAUUGCAUAUAUGCAAAAUAGUUUGAGCAUGGUCUUGUGUGCAGAAAGGAAAAUCUACUUAAUGUACUGUCUGGACAGAAUGGAGACAUUUGGCUUAAGGUUACCAAUUGUGUUACCAAUGGUGUUUAUUUGUGUAUUUCUGUUGGUUAGUAAUAGUACGUAAAAAGCUGACAAAAGAAGAAAAGAUGAAAGCAAAAAGCUGGGAUAGAACUAAUGAUAAUAAAACUCUUGGCAAGUCAAAUUACUAAGAGUCUCAUAUCAAAGGCAACUUUGAGAAUAAUGGGAUUCCAGAGUCCAUAAAAUUAGUCAUGAUUCAACGAUAAAAACAUCAACAAUUUGCAUAAAAGCUUUAAAGUAGAGAUUUAGCACUGUGUGCCAAAUGAAGAAAAAAAAAGCACUGCCGUAACAGUAACACUUUAUUAUAGGUAUCCAUUAUCUAGUGCUUAUACAACAGAAGCCAAAUGAGCUCGUUAUUAUCAGUGCUAUUAUACUGAAUACUAAAUGAACUCAUCAUAGAAACACAGUUGCUUUAAAAACUAUUACUGUACCAACAAAGAAAAAAAUGUAUUGCAUACAAACUUC